ensembl:lncRNA
CUUCACGUUCCUUUUACUGUCUAUUAUUUGGCUUGAAAACCUGUGGCCCAGAACAUAAGAAAGAUAAAACAGAAUGGAAGCUAAAGUGACCAAAUUUUAUAGUAAAAAUCUGCACCAAAGUGAUUGUGUGGACACUUUAUCUAUUUGGAACCAAGAAAUUAAAGAAGAAAAGGCUACACAAGGUUUUACAAAAGAAGUGAGCUGUUCUGCUUCAAGUUUUUUCCAGUUUUUUUCUAUAAAUCAAAACAUCUCAAAAUGGAGGCCUAAAACUCUUAAAAGGGACUUAGUCUAAUCUCCGGGAGGUAGUUUUGUGCAUGAAUAAACAAAUAAAGUAGUUAACUGGAGUUUUUGGUAGCCAAAGAAUGUUAAUGUUGAAAAUAUGAACUAAUUACAUGAUGUGUAACUAUAAAGUAAUAAUGAGUUUGAUUUUGAAUUUGACCUUCAAUGUAAAAGAGAAGUGAUUAUAGCUGGGACAUAUUGUUGAACCACUCUUCAAGUUGGCCAGGUCCUCUCUCAUUGGCUGCUGUGUAGAAUAAAAAAAGCACCUGUGUUUGGUAAAGAUUUAAAAAUGAGUGAUAGUUAUCUAGAACAAAAAGUUAAUAUUCAACCUUCUGCUAAAUUAGAAAAAUAUGCAAAUAAAACUUUUGACAUCUUUAAAGACUUCUACAAUGAUAAUGAAAUGUCAAGAACAAAACUUUUUGAUAGGUAUAACAAAUUUAGAGAAAGUAUGAAAGAUAAACAUGAUGAAUGGUAAAGAAAUUAACCAUUUAUAAGAGUUGAUAUUUUAAAAAGUCUAAAAUUUAGUUUGUUCAAAUGAGUUAUUAUCUCUGAGGAUAAUAAGAAUGAGAAUGAUGGUUGGAUGGUUAUAUUUUGGUAAGUGAACAAACUUAUUCGGAAAGAAAAUUUACAGAAGGAGUAAUGAACACCAAGAAGGUUUUUAUAACAAUGUGUAAAGUUUUUGAGCAAUGAAAAUCGUACUGAAGUUAGACACAAUAACUCACCUUUGAGGGAAAUUAUCACAGGUAUUAAAAUAUGUUUCUCCUGCCACCUGGAAAUAAAUUAAAGUCUGCUGUGGAAAGUGCCAACCUCUGUGGGACCCAGGAAACCAUGCUUGCAAAUCACUGCUUGGAAAACCAGGAUGACUUGUUUGUUGGUCAUUGCUGAUAUCAUUGAUGCAGAACCUAUUUACUAAUAGCUAGUCAUAAUUGAGAAAUUCUGAAUUUUUAGAAAGUCUCUGCUCUUCAAGAGAAGUAGAUUAUGACAAAAUAAAUUUGUUGUUAUUUUUUGCCAUGAUAAAUUAUGAUUCAAGGUAUGCCUAUCUGUGAAAUAAUUUAUGACCAAAACCAAAUUUGUACAAUUUGAUUAUGCGUCUUAGCCUACAGACUCAGCACUCUGACUUUUGACUGUUUUUAAAAGUAAAUCCACUGUCGGAGUAGAAAAUUUAGUGUUGGCUCCUCAGCAGCAUGAAGUUGAGCCUAAAUGACCAAUUGAGCAAAUACAUUCUUCUCUGAUAAUUCAUUUGAAAUGGAACAUUUAAUUUGCUAAGAUCCAAUGGUAUCACUAUGACUAAGCAACCAGGUUCC